AUUCCGUAGGCCCACCUAUACACAUGCUUGGUUAAAUGGAAUGCCUUACUACGGGCUUAUUGCAUUAUGCGCCUAUGCAAUGAAUGUCUGAUUUCUAUUCUGUUUCUUCACCACCGAUUACUUAUUCGGUGUUUAAGGAGGAGACCUUCACGCUCCCCACUUCGCUCCCCAUUUCUUCGGCGAUUCUCUCUCACUCUCGGUCUCUUUCCGACGUUUUCCUGUCAUUCUUUUUCAGCUUUGCGUAUCCACAGGCCAAAAAAACACACGCUGUAGUAGGAAGAGAGUUUUCGUGAGAGAGAAAUCCUAUGUUUUCUCUGCCGUUUCUGGUUUUUGUGAUUUUUGAAAUUCUUUGCUUCAACGGAGACUCAUUUCAGCAGGACACCAUGAAAGGCCACCUUAUAAUGACAAUACUAUCAGGUCUGUGUAUCAUGUCCGGGAGUAUGAUGUUCAUAAGCUCAUGCACCUAGAGGAACCGAUUGAUAUUUUCCUUUGACACGAUUGGCCGCUCGGCAUCACUAAUUAUGGAAACUGGCAACAACUUGUUCGCUACAAAAAACAUUUCAAAGAUGAGAUCCAGCAAGGAACUCUUGUAAGCAAACCUGCUGCUCAGCUGCUCGAAAAACUCAAACCAUCGUAUUGGUUUUCAGCUCACUUGCAUUGCAAAUUCACCGCUCUUGUUGAACAUGAAGAGGGUGGUCAAGUGACAAAAUUUCUUGCACUCGAUAAAUGCCUUCCAGGGCACAAGUUCUUGCAGGACCUUAUGAGGUUCAGUACGAUGAAGAAUGGCUGGCAAUAACGCGGAAAUUGAACUGUGUCUUUCCUUUGACCUUCCGCCGCGGAGACGUUGGGAGAACAAAGCUCGACAUGCAAGAUUGUUGUCAACGGGUUAAGAGCAGGAUAGAAGACAGGGGAGCCAAACCUUGUGACUUUUCUCAAACAGCUCCACCUCACAAACCCUCUGAUUCAGUUUCAAACACUGCUUUUUCUGGUUCUCCGGGUAAUCCUCAGACUGCAUCUUUCUUGGAAUUGCUAGAUCUUCUUUAUGUUUCUUGAUAAUGCAUCGGACUCCAGGGGUACUCCUGCUUCAUUGCCUCAAAAGGGUAAAGAGUUUUCUAUUUACAUUGUCCCACUCAGUUUUGAUGCAUUGUCCCUUUAUACUGUACUUAGCAGCUUUUAGUUAAUCCUCAUUGUGAUGCAGUCAAACCUAGAGUAUACAUGAUUCUAGGAAUACCUUUUGCUUCGAUCUAAGCAGGACCAACCAACUUACCUUCCCAAAUCCGACCUAGCUCCUGAAAAUCUUGAAAAGGUUAAAAAAAGGAAAACCAAAUAAAUCAAAAGCCCACGGGCCUGCUUCCCCUAAAUAUUUAGACCGUGGAACAACAAAGAUAAUUCAUUAGCUUAAUCAAAUUGGGUAUCUCUUUUAUCAACCUAAAAUGAAGGUAGAAGUUGUGUGCAGGAAGCUGUAUGACUACGUCCUAUACGAUCUCAAAGAAAUAGCUUUCCCUUCUUCAUUGCCUGAUUCUCCCCACAUCAAACAGCGCUGCAAAUUGACUUGGCACGAGCUCUUCUUGUUACUUUUCUUUUCCAAUUUCUCUUCCAUAGUAAGAGUUUUGUUUGCUUAUUGAUUUUUUGGUUUUAAUGAUGAAUGCUAUUAGAUUCUGGAUUUCCCCCCUUCCUUUAUAUAAUUGUAUUUUUUUUUUAUGGUUUAUGUGAUGGAGAAGCUAUAUUAGUACCGGAUUGUAGUUUAGAUAUUACUGCCAGUUUAAAAAGCAUGGCUCUUUCAUUUCUCCAUCAUAGCAAAAUAGUGAGCUUGGUUUAUAAAUUAACCUCUUAUUAUUAUAAUUAUUAUUAUUUUUGCGUCGUUGCUAUUGCUGUAAGCAAAACAUUUUAAAAUUCUGAAGCCUUUCUUUGGAAGAAAAAAGAUGCAUGGUUUUUUACUUUAAGUCAAGAAUGUAUGUUUGGAAGUACUUUACGUUUGAACUAUUAGCAAUUUCUACUCAAAUAUGAUGAUUUUGCCACUUCUUUUUUAUAAUAUAUAUAUUUUUUUUUGCUUUUGUUCCAUUUAACAAAUUUUAAAGAAGCAUAAUGGAAAUUUGAAAUUUCACAGAUGCUAGCUGGUGAUCAUGGUUUAGGGUUGGGCUGGUGUUUUUGAGCUUUUGUUUCAGUGUUUGGGGCUGUGGAUUUAAAAAGAGCCUUAAAUAUACAUCGGAGAUUUAAAAAAUCUUCCGAGAAGAAGAUGUUCGUUGUGUCUUUUCAAAUCCCUUUCCUUCCCCAUCAUUUCAUUCCAGAGUUCCCCUUUUCUUCCCUGAUACUCUAUCUCUCUCGCUCUCUUUUCGAAGUUUUGCUUUUAUUCUUUUUUACCUUCGGGUAACCAGAGGCCAAACAAACAUCCCCCAUUUGUUUCUCGAUUUGAUUCUCUCUCUUCAACUUUUUUCUCUCUUUAUUUUUUAGUUUUGGGUUACGAGAGGCCAAAAAAAAAAAAAACACACAUAUGCGCUACAGUAGGAAAACAGUUUUCGUGAGAGAGAUAAACCUGAGUUUUCUAUUUUAUGUGAUUUUCGAAAUCUCCUGUUUCAUCGUAGACUAAUUUUCAAGUAUGAAUCUUAACUUUGUCUUUUGCCUUUUCAUUUCUGUUUUAUGGUUAGACGGGUCUGUUCCUUACAUCUGUAAGUGUUCUUGUUUUUCUUAAUGUCGGUUCAAAGAUGUUUGAAGAAUCUCAUGUCUUCUAGGAUAGCACCUUAUCAGAAAAAAAAUGGCUUCGGAUUUUGUGUAAUUCAUAUUUUAAGAAGCUUUUGGAAAAUGUUGCCUUCUUUUUGCAGCAAGUGAUUUAAGUAACAUUGAUUUCUAUUUAAUGGAAUUAGCAGUUAGAACUGCAUGAUAAAUAAAUCUACUUAAUUCAUAGGCCGUCUACAUUUGUACAAGCAGACAAACUUAAGAUAGGGGAUCCUACUAAUAAGGGCGGAGAGUAUAUUCUAGAUUAUAUCAGUUGGGUAGGCUGGACUGGGGUUCUGGGAAAAUCUCUACGAAUUCUUCUUUGCAAGAGACAUCCCUGGGUUUAGUGAUGUCUCCGGCAGCCUUGCUGGGAUCUCCAGAUCGAAUAAUUGGUUUACAAGACGCUCUUAGGGGGUCCUGUCUUCCAAGGAGAAGGAACUAACAAAAUUGAGUAAUAUCAGCAGUAUUGACACUGCUUUUCUGGUCUGUUCAGUAAUCCAUACUGAGCUUUAUGUCAUUGGUAACCCACUGCGAAUUUAACCAAUGUUUAUUUCCACUCAAGUUCAGGUCAACAGAAAAUAACAAAGUUAAGGGGUUUUACCUAUGUUUUCUAGCUGAAGUUGGCCUUUACUCUGGUUCCAAAAUGGCCAAAUUCAAAAACUAAUGCAAGUUUGUGAAUAAUGCAGGAAUCACCUGGGAAGAUCCAGUUUUCUGUGGACCUGACCAUUGGGCCAAUGAAUUUGGUGCUGAAAGAUUGCAACAAGAGUCUGUCGAUGAUCAAUGGGUCAAUGAAUGCUCAAAGUUGCAUGUUGAUGACUGGGCAGAAGAAUUUGGUCGUCAAGUUGGUGAGGGGGCUUUGGGAGAUAGUUUGUCUGAUAACUGGGCAAAUUCAUAUGAUAAGUUCCUCAGCGGUCGGACGCUUCAAGGGGUGUCUUUGUAUUUUCUGAUAUGAAUCCAUAUGUUGGUCAUCAAAAUCCUUUAAAAGAAGGUCAAGAGCUAUUGAGGAAAGGACUUUUGAGUGAAGCAGUGCUUGCCCUAGAGGCUGAAGUUAUGAAAAAUCCUGAGAAUGCUGAAGAUUGGAGAUUGCUAGGAAUAACCCAUGCUGAAAAUAAUGAUGACCAGCAGGUAAUCCACUUUGCUCUAGUUUGUCAGAGUUGGAUAGUUUGUGUGUAUUCUUACACCAAAAGACAUUGUUUUUGUGUUCUUUAAUACUACAAGAAUUUCUAUUAAGCGAUGUGACUGCUUGUCUAGCUCAACCAUCUGUUCGGCAUCUUUGGUUAUGAUUCUUUGCCUGGCAAGGUUGACCAUUUACCUUUCUAUUCCACCUAAAUCUAAAUCAUUUUUAAUCUUGUCUAAUGCCCUGUGAAUACCAUCAUAUUUUAGGAAACAGUACAACCUAUUGAUUAAGCAAGCAAGAAAACCUUUUGAACACAAAGGAUCUAUUUUCCUGUACCGCUACAUUUUUUUUUUUUUUUUGCUGGCAUGAUAUAGCCAUGUUGGUGUACCAUGCAAUGGUCAUUUCUUAUAUAUGAAAACUUCUACUGGAAAGGGAUAGAAGGAGCUAUUUUUCGUUUAAACAUUGAAAUUUGCAAUAUGAUUGGUAUUACGUUUAUCUUUGUGGCCUGAGGCUUCAGUCAGAGUACCAGAUCUAAGGCCGCUGUCUUUGCCUGGCUGCUAAUGUUCUGGAUCUAACCUAUUAUCAUUUCCCCAAUCGUAUAUAAUCCCCCUGGCCAGUGUCCGCUCUCUUCUUAUCACAAAACAUAUAACAAGAUCAGAAUAAGAAAAACGCUGCUUGCAGCUUUGCUAUUAAGGUAUGUCAUCAUCUGAUAAGCCAGAAUUAGUUGAAAGGGACGUCUUUUUUAGUUUCAGACCUAUGCUUAUCUUCUCUUAUUUCUGUGGGUAUUGUGGUUUUCAUCUUUGGGUAUUGUGGUUUUCAUCUUUAGAACAAGUUUUCAUCUCUGUUUUAGUUUUCAGAUUUAUGCUUCUUU